rnacentral:rRNA from 1 species
GAUUUCUGGUUUAAUGCACCUGGCCCGCGGCCACUAGGCUUGUGAGUGCCGGCGCGCGUUUACCAUCCUUCUAGAAAACGAUUCUGCCAUUAACUUGGUUGGGAUCGCGAUCUAGAUCUUUUACUUUGAAAAAAUUAGAGUGUUUAAAGCAGGCUUUUGCUAUGAAUACAUUAGCAUGGAAUAAUAAUCUAGGACUUCGGUUCUAUUUUGUUGGUUUCUAUAACUGAAGUAAUGAUUGAUAGGGAUAGUUGGGGGUGCUAGUAUUGGCCGGCCAGAGGUGAAAUUCUUGGAUUCGGUCAAGACUAACUUAUGCGAAAGCAUU